rnacentral:tRNA from 2 species
GGGGUACUAGUAAAACUAGCCAUUACACUGCUUUGUCAAGGCAGAGUCGCAAGUUAAAACCUUGCGUACCCCC